CGCAUUAAGCGCCCCGCCUGGGGAGUACACCGCAAGGCUAAAAACUCAAAGGAAUUGACGGGGGCCCGCACAAGCGGCGGAGCAUGCGGAUUAAUUUGAUGCAACGCGAAGAACCUUACCAAGGCUUGACAUGUACCGGAAACUCCCAGAGAUGGGGGCCCCGCAAGGUCGGUACACAGGUGGUGCAUGGUUGUCGUCAGCUCGUGUCGUGAGAUGUUGGGUUAAGUCCCGCAACGAGCGCAACCCUCGUUCUAUGUUGCCAGCACGUGAUGGUGGGGACUCAUAGGAGACUGCCGGGGUCAACUCGGAGGAAGGUGGGGAUGACGUCAAAUCAUCAUGCCCCUUACGUCUUGGGCUUCACGCAUGCUACAAUGGCCGGUACAGAGGGCUGCGAAACCGUGAGGUGGAGCGAAUCCCUUAAAGCUGGUCUCAGUUCGGAUUGGGGUCUGCAACUCGACCCCAUGAAGUCGGAGUCGCUAGUAAUCGCAGAUCAGCAACGCUGCGGUGAAUACGUUCCCGGGCCUUGUACACACCGCCCGUCAAGUCACGAAAGUCGGUGACACCCGAAGCCGGUGCAACCCGAGGGAGCCGUCGAAGG
rnacentral:rRNA from 1 species